AAAUCAAUACAGGUAAUCUGCUGGUCAAAACCAACCUUGUACUAAAUUUUGUGUUUCUCAUCCCAAGCAUCCUGAAGUUAUUGUCCAAAAACCGUUUUAAAGAACAGUUAUUAGCAACCCCAGCUUAUCACUGAUAAGCCUCCAGAUUAACUGGAAAACUGCAGAAAUCUGACCCCAGUCGUAAACUUUUUCAUGUAAAAUCAUCAAAUGAUAAUCAAUCAAAACAAGAUAUACAUGUUUAAAAAGCUAAUAAAAUUAUCUACAAUUUGCAUAUUUUAUUUGUUAUUUUAUUGCCAUAUUAUCGGAUUUAUGAUCUUGUUAUCCAACAGAUCACGGUAAUUUACACCCGAUCUCAGAUAAACAGUAAACAUGCAGCGUUCGCGUGACACCAUGUGUCUUUGUUUCAAUAUGCGACUGGUUUAAUAGCUAUGAAUAUUAAUGAGUUUAAUAUAUCCAAUCAGAAAAAAGGUUUAUGAAUACAUUACAACUUGAUGCAUAUUCGUACGAUACUUAAAAGGAAAGAUAUAGUCCCCCAAAGUUGACCGUUUUUUUCUCAGAAAAUACGAAUUUUUCAGACAUGCACCAUGCACCAAUGCAAAAUAUACAUUCUGAAGUUUAAUUUGGUACCAAAAUCAUUUUUCGGAAACGCCAUUUACCCGGUCGCAUUUAUUUCUGAAAAUUGCAAUUUUCGGAAAAUCCAAAGGUCACGCACGUUUCAGGCCGACCGCCAUUUUGAAAUUUAUGAUAACACAACACCGAUACAAAAUAUCGUUAAAAAUCAAUAAAUCUGUUCAUUAAAAAAACAGGAAAACGAUUAAAAAUGAAAUGAAUGUUAAAUCAUAACAUUUGGUCAGCUAUGACAGAGAUAUACCUAGGCCCAUUUUGUGAUUGUGAUGCACACAGUACUAUCACAAAGUUAUAGACUGGACGUAUCAAGAAAACAAUCAAACCAUUAUUAAACAGCAUUAUGAUUGAAAUAAACCAUUUUGUCAAGACACCGGGGUUCAAAUAAAGUGAUUUGUUUAAUGUCUUUGUGCAUUCAAAUCAGUGUCAAUAAGACUGACAACUGGUACCCUGGCUUUGGAGAAAGUUGUGAAUGAUUCUGCAGCGGUUGUCAAGUUCAUGACUCACUGUUGUAAGCUGGCCACUGAGAGAAGAUAAGCAAGUUAUAAACAUUUAGUUCGUGAUUGGCCAGAAAUUGGUGCCAGACUGUAUAAAUGCGGUUAGAUGAUGCCAUCAUGGUGAACAUAAGCACUUACAUACGGUAUUCAGCCAGUUCAGCAGUGACUUUUUCCGUUAACGUUAACCACACUACCAGUAGAAGUUGAAUUCAAAACUGACAUUUUUCAUUUCACUUUUAAUUAGUUCAAUGACACUCUUGGGUCUAGUAAAUAUGUAUCAUAGUUUUUAUGAGCAACUUGAAAUGAAUAAUUGCAGGUGGAAAUAAUUCUUUAUCAAGAGUAAAACUAUUUAAAUUAAUGGUAGAUAAUUUUAGCAAGUCGUAGCAGUCUAAUAGUGAAAAAAUAUUCAACAGAAAAAUAUGAAAUCAAUAUUAUUUGAAAAUAUUAUAUUUUAUUUAUAAACUUGUUCUAUGUAUAAUAAAUGUAUCUACACUGUCUUGUUCUGUAGUAAUAUUUAAAUAAAUCUGUUAAAGUGAUCAUGAAAAUGUAUGUGUAAGUGACAACUGAAAUUAUUUGAAAAUAAUGUAAAAACUUGAAAAAUAAAUUGCAUCAACCUGA
rnacentral:lncRNA from 1 species